rnacentral:rRNA from 1 species
CCUACGGGAGGCAGCAGUAGGGAAUCUUCCGCAAUGGACGAAAGUCUGACGGAGCAACGCCGCGUGAGCGAUGAAGGCCUUCGGGUCGUAAAGCUCUGUUGUUAGGGAAGAAUAAGUGCUAGUUGAAUAAGCUGGUACCUUGACGGUACCUAACCAGAAAGCCACGGCUAACUACGUGCCAGCAGCCGCGGUAAUACGUAGGUGGCAAGCGUUGUCCGGAAUUAUUGGGCGUAAAGCGCGCGCAGGCGGUUUCUUAAGUCUGAUGUGAAAGCCCCCGGCUCAACCGGGGAGGGUCAUUGGAAACUGGGGAACUUGAGUGCAGAAGAGGAGAGCGGAAUUCCACGUGUAGCGGUGAAAUGCGUAGAGAUGUGGAGGAACACCAGUGGCGAAGGCGGCUCUCUGGUCUGUAACUGACGCUGAGGCGCGAAAGCGUGGGGAGCGAACAGGAUUAGAUACCCUGGUAGUCCACGCCGUAAACGAUGAGUGCUAAGUGUUAGAGGGUUUCCGCCCUUUAGUGCUGCAGCAAACGCAUUAAGCACUCCGCCUGGGGAGUACGGCCGCAAGGCUGAAACUCAAAGGAAUUGACGG